GCCAGCAGUGAUGGCAUGUUGAAUGCACAUGCUCCCCAUAUACAUAUCACUGAAUUAAGCAACGUUGAGCGUGGUUAGUACCCGGUUGGAUGACCAUCUGGGUAAUCGCGUGCUUCUGACU
rnacentral:rRNA from 1 species